UACAGAGGGUGCAAGCGUUGUUCGGAAUUACUGGGCGUAAAGGGUGCGUAGGCGGUUCGUUAAGUCUGUUGUGAAAUCCCCGGGCUCAACCUGGGAAUGGCAAUGGAUACUGGCGAGCUAGAGUGUGAUAGAGGAUGGUGGAAUUCCCGGUGUAGCGGUGAAAUGCGUAGAGAUCGGGAGGAACAUCAGUGGCGAAGGCGGCCAUCUGGAUCAACACUGACGCUGAAGCACGAAAGCGUGGGGAGCAAACAGG
rnacentral:rRNA from 1 species